rnacentral:rRNA from 1 species
AUUGAACGCUGGCGGCAUGCCUUACACAUGCAAGUCGAACGGCAGCACGGGAGCAAUCCUGGUGGCGAGUGGCGAACGGGUGAGUAAUGUAUCGGAACGUGCCCAGUCGUGGGGGAUAACGUAGCGAGAGCUACGCUAAUACCGCAUACGAUCUAUGGAUGAAAGCGGGGGAUCGCAAGACCUCGCGCGAUUGGAGCGGCCGAUAUCAGAUUAGGUAGUUGGUGGGGUAAAGGCUUACCAAGCCGACGAUCUGUAACUGGUCUGAGAGGACGACCAGCCACACUGGGACUGGGACACGGCCCAGACUCCUACGGGAUGCAGCAGUGGGGAAUUUUGGACAAUGGGCGCAAGCCUGAUCCAGCAAUGCCGCGUGCAGGAUGAAGGCCUUCGGGUUGUAAACUGCUUUUGUACGGAACGAAACGGCGAGCUCUAAUACAGUUUGCUAAUGACGGUACCGUAAGAAUAAGCACCGGCUAACUACGUGCCAGCCGCCGCCGUAA